rnacentral:rRNA from 1 species
AGUUUGAUCCUGGCUCAGAACGAACGCUGGCGGCAGGCUUAACACAUGCAAGUCGAACGCCCCGCAAGGGGAGUGGCAGACGGGUGAGUAACGCGUGGGAACAUACCCUUUUCUACGGAAUAGCUCUGGGAAACUGGAAUUAAUACCGUAUACGCCCUACGGGGGAAAGAUUUAUCGGGGAAGGAUUGGCCCGCGUUGGAUUAGCUAGUUGGUGGGGUAAAGGCCUACCAAGGCGACGAUCCAUAGCUGGUCUGAGAGGAUGAUCAGCCACAUUGGGACUGAGACACGGCCCAAACUCCUACGGGAGGCAGCAGUGGGGAAUAUUGGACAAUGGGCGCAAGCCUGAUCCAGCCAUGCCGCGUGAGUGGUGAAGGCCUUAGGGUUGUAAAGCUCUUUCACCGAUGAAGAUAAUGACGGUAGUCGGAGAAGAAGCCCCGGCUAACUUCGUGCCAGCAGCCGCGGUAA